AAAAGGGUCAGACCCCUCCAAUACAACA
rnacentral:antisense_RNA from 1 species